CCUACGGGGGGCAGCAGUGGGGAAUAUUGGGCAAUGGGCGCAAGCCUGACCCAGCAACGCCGCGUGAAGGAAGAAGGCUUUCGGGUUGUAAACUUCUUUUAAGGGGGAAGAGCAGAAGACGGUACCCCUUGAAUAAGCCACGGCUAACUACGUGCCAGCAGCCGCGGUAAUACGUAGGUGGCAAGCGUUGUCCGGAUUUACUGGGUGUAAAGGGCGUGCAGGCGGAGAGACAAGUCAGUUGUGAAAUCCACGGGCUCAACCCGUGAACUGCAUUUGAAACUGUUUCCCUUGAGUGUCGGAGGGGAAGUCGGAAUUCCUGGUGUAGCGGUGAAAUGCGUAGAUAUAAGGAAGAACACCAGUGGCGAAGGCGGAUUACUGGACGAUAACUGACGGUGAGGCACGAAAGCGUGGGGAGCAAACAGGAUUAGAUACCCGAGUAGUC
rnacentral:rRNA from 1 species